rnacentral:rRNA from 1 species
UACGUAGGGGGCAAGCGUUGUCCGGAAUCAUUGGGCGUAAAGAGCGUGUAGGCGGCCCGAUAAGUCCGCUGUGAAAGUCCAGGGCUCAACCCUGGAAUGCCGGUGGAUACUGUCGGGCUCGAGUUCGGAAGAGGUGAGUGGAAUUCCUGGUGUAGCGGUGAAAUGCGCAGAUAUCAGGAGGAACACCGGUGGCGAAGGCGGGUCUCUGGGCCGUAACUGACGCUGAGGAGCGAAAGCGUGGGGAGCGAACAGG